GAUGAACGCUGGCGGCGUGCCUAAUACAUGCAAGUCGAGCGAACGGACGAGAAGCUUGCUUUUCUGAUGUUAGCGGCGGACGGGUGAGUAACACGUGGAUAACCUACCUAUAAGACUGGGAUAACUUCGGGAAACCGGAGCUAAUACCGGAUAAUAUUUUGAACCGCAUGGUUCAAAAGUGAAAGACGGUCUUGCUGUCACUUAUAGAUGGAUCCGCGCUGCAUUAGCUAGUUGGUAAGGUAACGGCUUACCAAGGCAACGAUGCAUAGCCGACCUGAGAGGGUGAUCGGCCACACUGGAACUGAGACACGGUCCAGACUCCUACGGGAGGCAGCAGUAGGGAAUCUUCCGCAAUGGGCGAAAGCCUGACGGAGCAACGCCGCGUGAGUGAUGAAGGUCUUCGGAUCGUAAAACUCUGUUAUUAGGGAAGAACAUAUGUGUAAGUAACUGUGCACAUCUUGACGGUACCUAAUCAGAAAGCCACCGCUAACUACGUG
rnacentral:rRNA from 1 species